rnacentral:rRNA from 1 species
UACAGAGGGGGCUAGCGUUGUUCGGAAUUACUGGGCGUAAAGGGCGCGUAGGUGGCCUGUUAAGUCGAACGUGAAAUCCCCGGGCUCAACCCGGGAACUGCGUCCGAGACUGGCAGGCUCGAAUCCGGGAGAGGGAUGUGGAAUUCCAGGUGUAGCGGUGAAAUGCGUAGAUAUCUGGAGGAACACCGGUGGCGAAGGCGGCAUCCUGGACCGGUAUUGACGCUGAGGCGCGAAAGCGUGGGGAGCGAACAGG